GUCCACGCCCUAAACGAUGGGCACUAGGUGUGAGGACCUUUUAAGGUCUUCGUGCCGAAGCUAACGCAUUAAGUGCCCCACCUGGGGAGUACGGCCGCAAGGUUGAAACUCAAAGGAAUUGACGGGGGCCCGCACAAGCGGUGGAGCAUGUGGUUUAAUUCGACGCAACGCUAAGAACCUUACCUAGGCUUGACAUCCAGAGAAUCCCCUGGAAACAGGGGAGUGCCCGCAAGGGAGCUCUGAGACAGGUGCUGCAUGGCUGUCGU
rnacentral:rRNA from 1 species